AUGCCAAAACAGCAUUCUUUAUGACAGAUGUAGCUGAGAUGUACCUGAAAGAAUUGAGGACAUUGCCAACCCUUACGACUAUCCAAUGAUCAGCCAGGGUGAAAUUACUGUAAAGAGCAUCAAUGACGUGGAGGAAUUCAUUGCCACUGAUGUAGGUUGACAACUGCAAUAUUAUUUUUAGUACCAUUUUUGAGGUGGUACAAAAAGUACAGUCUAUUCUUCCUGAAGUAAUGAGUUUUAUAUUGAGUGAUUUUAAUAAUGUGUCGCUGAAUAAAGCACUUACACACUAUUA